ACCGGGUGACCGGAUGCCGAUCUCGAAAACCUGUCCCAGUUCGGACUGGAGUCUGCAACCCGACUCCACGAAGUUGGAUUCGCUAGUAAUCGCGCAUCAGCCAUGGCGCGGUGAAUACGUUCCCGGGCCUUGUACACACCGCCCGUCAAGCCAUGAAAGCCGGGGGCGCCUGAAGUCCGUGACCGCGAGGGUCGGCCUAGGGUGAAACCGGUGAUUGGGGCUAAGUCGUAACAAGGUAGC
rnacentral:rRNA from 1 species